rnacentral:lncRNA from 1 species
CGCCGGGCGCCGUUCGCAAGCGGCCGCCGGGCGCCGCGGGCCUCCUGGUUCGCGCCACCGGACAAACUUCGCCAAGUUUCGGCGGGAUACGGGGCGCUCCGCCUGCCGCGCGGCUCCCCCUUCUCCGGCAGCCGCCAGGCUAGGCUUUGCCCGGGACGGCUCCGCCGCCCUUUUAAGGAAAAGCCGGAACCAGGCUUCCCGAGUGCGAUGCACGCGUGGGGUCACAGCCCCUCCGGGAGCACCGCCGGACCCCCGCUGGACGCGCCCCAGGGUCCGGCGGACGGCUGGGACAUCGCGCGGGGGGAGUGAUGUCCGCUCGCCUCAGGGAUUCCUUUGUCACGCCGCCCGCUUCUGUCUCGUCCGGGUUCCUCUCCGCGGAGCCCGCUCCAUCUUCCGGCCAGCCUCGGGCCCCGCUCCAGCCGCUGGGCUUCGGACCUUCCUUGCUGCCGCACCGCACCUCCGCCCGCCGCCACCACCUGCGGCUGCUUCGCUGGCGGGAUGUUUGGAGAGAAUCCGAGCGCUGGCCUUCCACCGGAGGGUGGUUCCCGGCGCUUCCCCCGACGAUCGUAUGUGUCGGUUUGAUCGACUUUCCUUCGCACCGUGCCGGCGGGAUUGCGCCCGGAUUAAGUCAACUCAGGGGAAGGCAAGAGCAUGGUUCAUACAUUCCCGGCCGCAGUCAUGAACAGGGUGAGAAUCAGUAAUAUCUACUGGAGUGUGAUCGGGGCGGAGAGGGAGAGCGGGGAGGGACAAGCAGCAGCGACUCGCUGAUGCCACCACCAGCGGCACCCCCGGCUCCCGAAGGCUCUCGACCCCGCUCCCGCCAGCGCCCCUGGAGAGCAGAGUGGGCUCGGUUCCAGCGAGGCUCUUUCCCCGCUCUUCCCUGCCGUGCUGCUUCCUUCACGACCCACUCUCCCUGUGCCCCAAACCCGUGGGUACGAGAGCAGGGUGCAGUGUAGAGGAUGGCGAUGGGCCCGGUGUCGCGACAGACCCGGGUGAAGCACUCAAGGCGGGCACAUGGGUAAGCCCUGUCUGACAGCUCCUACACGGAUGAGUGCCCCCACCAGGACCCCUGCCCGUGGGGGGGCCAUUUCCGUGGCUCCUGCCGCGCCAAGGCUGCUGCUGCUCCGGGCUUCUGCUCUGGCUCUGCGCAAGUGGCAAAGCAGUGUGCAGGCUGAGCGGGCACCUGUGCCAUGGAAACCGCGUGGGGAAGGGCCGUGGGUGACGGCAUGGGGCCCGGAGAGGUUCCUAGGGUCAAUGGUCGCUGUCUGUCUCAGAACAGCACAAUCACCAACUCGCAGGUCCCCACAGAGUCGUGUAAAGGUAAACUAGUCUUAAAAAGAAGCACUUGGUUAAAUUCCAGCAGAGAAGAUGCCUCAUUGACUGUCUUCCAAAAAUGUCACCAUUUGCAAACUCAUUACGUUCAUCUGUGCAUGUUUCUGAUUACAUUCAGUCCACCAAAUAGUGAAAACGGUAACAGAAUUUAUUGGUCAUAAAUUAUUGUACAUGACUCUUUCACAGGCUGCAGUCUAUGAAUGGCUCAGUACUGGCUCAAGUCUAUUUUUCUAGUCACAGAUGAAAUACUUUAUUCGAAGGUCUCUUUUUCAAAGAGCUUUCCCCCUCCCCUCACCUAAGGUUUGCGGCAACCACUGACUACUAAAACAACCACCCGUGGUUAUUUCAGCGAUGCUGGUAGUUACAGGGGGUCUGCCGUUCCCUGGUAAUCUGCUUUCAAGACAGUUCCAAGUGAUGGGAACUCUUAUCAGUUCCGCUUGGAGCAAGGUUGGACUCGUGUUAGGAACGACCGGAGGGUCCCAGGUCUCCCCCGAUCUGAGGCAGCCGCGGCGCGGGGGAGGAGGCUGCUCUCCCCGCGGGGAUUUCCGCGGCCGCGGUGCGGAGCGGAGUGGCUGCCUACACAGCCCUCGCACACGCAGACACACACACAAACGCAGAGGCACAGACACUCUCUCGGAGAGCCUUCAAAUCCCCAAGCACAGAAAGGGAAGGCUUUAUCGGAGUUUAGUUACUUAUCUGGAUUUUUGUUAAACCGCUGCUGUGAUCUCCGCGUACUUGUGCGAGUGUGUUAAUUGUUCUGAUAAUGUGUUGUUAUCGAUACAAUAACAAUACAGUCGUGUAUAAUGUGAUUUACUUGCCUUUGACCUGUCAAUUCCUGACGCAUGCAAAUUCAAGGGCGCGAUCUUUCCUUCUGCUACCGGAGGGAGGUGGAGGGGAGGGGUGAUAGUGAGGGGGGAACAAAAACCCGAGCAGAUGCAUUAUCAUACGGAGGCUAAACAAGGCUUUCCAGAAUGCAGUGCUGUACUCCAUCAAGCAAGAUUAGAGCGCUUUAAAAAAUAUUAAAGGGGGGCUUACCAUAGCCGUGUAUUAAUUCUGCCAGCUUGCUUACAGUAAAUGUAACUACACCCCACUCCAAAUAUUGUCCGAUUUCUCAUAUUCUUACCAAACAUCUAAUCUCUCGUGUUUUUUAAACCCGAGUUUAAUGUGAGUUUCAAGGAAGCAAGUUCAUUUCCUCCUAAUUUUUAUUUGAGCCUAACAAUCAGGUAGGGAAUCAAAGAGAUAAAAAGAAGUUGAAGAACAGUGGUUAUCCCGAUAGCGAUCUCCGCCUCGCCGUGCCUCCCGACUGAAAAGCUGAUUCACGGACUCCGCAGCCCCAGCGCUCCCCUGCACUGGCAGAGGCACAUCGCGUUUUCACGGCUCCCCUUGUGCACUGAGCUGUUUCCAAACACCAACUUUGAAAGCUGACAUUUUUCUUCGUGUAGGGUAUCAGUCACCGAUUGCACGUCACUUUCAGCUGUCCGAAGUUGCUGGGCAGUCUGGAAUCUUAAGCACACCAACAGGUUGGCAGGCUGAUCCUUCUGCUUGUAUGGACCUUGGCAGGUUUGUGAGCGCUCCUAAGCCUUUUUCCUCUUAUGCGGUCCAGUACACCUGUAGAGAGAAAGGGAGUUUUACCCCGUGAACUCUUCAUUGUGCAUAAUGCGCUAAACUCAUUCGUUUGCUUUUACAGAGUGCUUCCAAAUGCUUGGUAUUAUUAUUUUUCAAUAACAUUCGCUUAUUAUUAGAGCAGCUGGUAGCCCAAGCUCUAGUGAAGUGUCUGGCAAAGGAUUCUAUCAUAAAACACUGGUUUCUAAGUUUAUAGUUUCUAAUUUGGCUGUGAAAAUGUGAUUCUGCAUUGAACUUGGCACUCAAAUGCUCAGCUGGAGAGUAAACUUUUUAUAAUAAAAACGUUGGUUCAUUUGGUUUGCUAUUUUAAGUUAUAAGAUAAUUAACAAAGUUUUUACUUGUUUGGGAAGCACAGAGAAGUCCUGUACUUUUUUGAAAAUUAAAUGUUAUUAUUU